UCCGAAAUGAGUUUUAGGUUUUCACACUACAACAGAAUUAGAUUAUAGGAACACAUGUUUGGAACACUUUUGAGUAAGUGUCCCAUUUAUGCUAAAACUUAAAAAAACAUCUACUUAUGCCUAAAUAUAAAGCUCAAUCCAACCAAAAAUAAAAGAUUACUUUACUCAACCCACGACACCCAGUCCAUUUGACCCGAUUACAAACAGAAAAGAAAAAAAAAAAGAAAAAUCAAUUACCAUCUUUUCUUCUCUCUUCACUCAAUCUACUGAAAUUCUAGACGAAGAACCUUUCCUGUCAUCCUCCUCCGCCACGCAGCCAACGAGAUAGAGUUUCGGUGGUUGCUAAAUGCUUAAAUAAGUGUUGGUAAAUUAGCAGCACUCUUUUAGGUUAUAGCGACACUCUUUAACUGUCACUAUAUACCAACACUUUUUAAAAGUGUCGGUAAUUUUAGCUAGCAGCACUUUUUUAACAUGUACCUACAUUUAAAAGUGUCGCUAUAGACCGCUUUUGUUGUAGUGUCAUGAGAGUUCCAAAAAUG
rnacentral:lncRNA from 1 species